GCGUUACAAGUGGGCUCUGACCGGUAAGCGGUCAUGGCGAAAUGGGAUGAACCAUACGUCUGAAUAAGGUGCCGAAAUGUACUAUCACUGAUACCAUAAAGGGAGUCCAUGUAUUUAGACAGCAGGUCGGUGCCCCUAAAAGCAGGUAUCCGCUAAAGAGUGUGUUAAAACUCACCUGCCGAAUACUAGGGCCCCGAAAAUGAAUGGCGCAUAUAGUACUACCGAUCUCAGACAUCAGUUCUAUUGAACUGAGAGUAGGGGGAUGUGGACAUUUUUGUGAAGGUGCAAUGUGAGUUGGACUGGAAGAAUGUCUAUUACAGAUCCUAAUUGAAGUAGCGAUUAUCCAGGCUUGUAUCCUGGGGGCUGAUGAGGAGUAGGGUUUCUGGACAACUUAAACAGAUCCAGAGUUAGUCGAUCCUAAUCUCAAUAAUGGGAGAAAGGGAGUACAGUUGAUAUUCUGUAACUGACAACAGUUCGCGGCAACGCAUACUAUUUUUCUCCGCCAAUCUUAUACCGUUGGUAGGGAUCUCUUUCCUACAUGACAGUACUAAUACCCAGGGAAACUGGUCAUCAGGCGAACUGCGGCGUUCUGCUGGCAAAACAUAGCUUCGGUUAUGUCAAUGGCUAUUGGAUUGGUCCAUGAAGCGAAAAAUAGUUUACUGUGUCACUCGUACCGAUAACCGCAUCAGGUCUUCUAGGUAAGUAGCCUAUGGCCAUUGAGGCAUGAUAGUUCAGGGAAUUCGGCCAAUUAGAGCUGUAACUUCGGGAUAAAGCUUGGCUCUGAUGAAAAUCAGAACCGAUUGUUACGCGGAGAGCCCAACUGUUUAAUAAAAACGUAGUGUCGCGCUGUGGUAGUAUAGCCAGUGAACGCGACAUGAAUCCUGCUCAGUGCUGUGUCUGUUAAUAUGGUUCAAGCCAACGAAGCACCGGUAAAUAGCUGGGGGUAACUAUGACUCUUAUCAAAGUAGCGAAAUACCUCGUCACUUAAUUAGUGACCUGCAUGAACGGAGCUAUGAGGUUCUCACUGUCCCAAACUGUCUCUCAGCGAACCAACUGUAGUGGGAACGGUCACUAGAUAUCCAGCGGGGAAAGAAGACCCUGUAGAGCUUCACUUUGGUCUAGUCUUGUAUAGUUCCUGCGGGGGUGUAGACUAGGUGGGAGAGCAAUCGAUUCUGAAAAACCACUACCCUGUUUGGAAUUAUGCUUACCUAUCACAAGGAAUAGGACUAGAUAGAAAGUUUGGCUGGGGCGGCACACCUUCGAAAGAGCAGCGAAGGUGUCCUAAGUUGAGCUCAGUGAGGACAGAAAUCUCACGUUGAGGAUAAGGCCAAAAGCUCAAUUUACUGUGCCUUUUUGUACUAGGAUCAGUUACGAAAGUAAGGCCUAACGAUCCCUAAAUAGCCUCAGGUGCGUGAGGAUUGGGGUGACAGACAAGUUACCUCCGGGACAACUGGCUUGUGGCUGCUAAGAGAUCAAAUCAACGCAGCUUUUUGAUUCUUCGAUGUCGGCUCUUCCUAUCCUAGUGAUGUACAAGUUGCUAAGGGUCGGAUUGUUCACCCGUAUUAGGGAUCGUGAGCUGGGUUUAGACCGUCGUGAGCCAGGUUUGUUUUAUCCUACUGGAUAUAGCAUCAUGAUAGUAGAUUGAUUUAGUACGAGAGGAACUGUUGAUUAUGGCCUCUGGUUAGCGAUUAUCGGAAACGGUAUGUCGCGCAGCUACGCCGUCUGGGAUAAUGGCUGAAAGCCUCUUAAGCCAGAAGCCCAUCUAGAAAGUGAUGCACGUGAUGUUGGACCGAUACGAAUAAUCAUACUCAAAAGGUCCGCUUCAUAGGUAACCCAAUGUAGAAGACAUUGUGUGAACGAAGGUACUGUAAGCAGUGGAGUGGCAUUACGUCCACGACCUGUUGAGGUUCAGCUUCGCUUCUAGGUUUCCAAAUAUU
rnacentral:rRNA from 1 species